rnacentral:rRNA from 1 species
UACGUAGGGUGCGAGCGUUAUCCGGAUUUACUGGGUUUAAAGGGUGCGUAGGCGGGUAGGUAAGUCAGUGGUGAAAUCUCCGAGCUUAACUCGGAAACUGCCUUUGAUACUAUUUAUCUUGAAUAUUGUGGAGGUAAGCGGAAUAUGUCAUGUAGCGGUGAAAUGCUUAGAUAUGACAUAGAACACCUAUUGCGAAGGCAGCUUACUACGCAUAUAUUGACGCUGAGGCACGAAAGCGUGGGGAUCAAACAGG